rnacentral:rRNA from 1 species
AAAUUGAAGAGUUUGAUCAUGGCUCAGAUUGAACGCUGGCGGCAGGCCUAACACAUGCAAGUCGAACGGUAACAGGAAGAAGCUUGCUUCUUUGCUGACGAGUGGCGGACGGGUGAGUAAUGUCUGGGAAACUGCCUGAUGGAGGGGGAUAACUACUGGAAACGGUAGCUAAUACCGCAUAACGUCGCAAGACCAAAGAGGGGGACCUUAGGGCCUCUUGCCAUCGGAUGUGCCCAGAUGGGAUUAGCUUGUUGGUGGGGUAACGGCUCACCAAGGCGACGAUCCCUAGCUGGUCUGAGAGGAUGACCAGCCACACUGGAACUGAGACACGGUCCAGACUCCUACGGGAGGCAGCAGUGGGGAAUAUUGCACAAUGGGCGCAAGCCUGAUGCAGCCAUGCCGCGUGUAUGAAGAAGGCCUUCGGGUUGUAAAGUACUUUCAGCGGGGAGGAAGGGAGUAAAGUUAAUACCUUUGCUCAUUGACGUUACCCGCAGAAGAAGCACCGGCUAACUCCGUGCCAGCAGCCGCGGUAAUACGGAGGGUGCAAGCGUUAAUCGGAAUUACUGGGCGUAAAGCGCACGCAGGCGGUUUGUUAAGUCAGAUGUGAAAUCCCCGGGCUCAAC